rnacentral:rRNA from 1 species
GACGGGUGAGUAACGCGUGAGGAACCUGCCUUUCAGAGGGGGACAACAGUUGGAAACGACUGCUAAUACCGCAUGACACAUAGGUGUCGCAUGGCACUUAUGUCAAAGAUUUAUCGCUGAAAGAUGGCCUCGCGUCUGAUUAGCUAGUUGGUGAGGUAACGGCCCACCAAGGCGACGAUCAGUAGCCGGACUGAGAGGUUGAACGGCCACAUUGGGACUGAGAUGCGGCCCAGACUCCUACGGGAGGCAGCAGUGGGGAAUAUUGGGCAAUGGGCGCAAGCCUGACCCAGCAACGCCGCGUGAAGGAAGAAGGCUUUCGGGUUGUAAACUUCUUUUGUCAGGGACGAGUAGAAGACGGUACCUGACGAAUAAGCCACGGCUAACUACGUGCCAGCAGCCGCGGUAAUACGUAGGUGGCAAGCGUUGUCCGGAUUUACUGGGUGUAAAGGGCGUGUAGCCGGGAGGGCAAGUCAGAUGUGAAAUCCACGGGCUCAACUCGUGAACUGCAUUUGAAA